rnacentral:lncRNA from 1 species
UUUUCUCAUGUUCAUCUUUGUUUUGUCCGUGUACAUAUUCUGCCCUAACAUUAUUUCUAUUUUGCUAUAUUCAGAGAUUAUUCAGAGCUUAAUAUGAAACCCAAUUGGAUUGGACUUAGACCUUAGUUCUCUAAUAAGCCCAAGCAGGGAGAAAAUUGAAGAUUUUUGAGGAAACUAGACAAAUACAACAUUUGAAAGAGGUAAAGGACACAAAUAGCACUUAGGCUGAAAUUAUUGAUGCGAAAAUACCUAUUCACUGUGAGCUCUCUUUUUUCUCAACCUCGAUUUUUUCUGAUUAAUUGCGAUUAGGACAAAAAAGGUGUUGAUUUCAUGUUGUGUAGCUUUUUAAAUUUGUUUUGUGGGUUUAAAUUGGUGUGUAGUGUUUAAGGUGUUGAUUUCAGAUUGUGUAGCCUUUUAAAUUUGUUUUGUGAGUUUGAAUUGGUGUGUAGUGUUUAAAUAAGCAUCUUGGUUUGGAGAUUUUGUCUUCAUUGUGAGUAUUUCAAAGUGGGUUCUUCUAUGCUUAUGAAUAAUUACUUAAUUACUAUACCGACACAUAUAAUAUGUGUCAGGUAUGCUUAAUCUUCGCAAUUUUGAAUGUCUUGAUGUUUGCAUGUCUGUAGAGAUACUUAAAUUGUUUCUUGAAAUGUCUCCAAAUUUAUUUAUCCAUGCACUGAUUUGCUUGGUGUUAAAGUUUGUGGUCUUUAUUUAUCGCGCUGGCAAAUGUUAUAGAUUGUAUACUUAAACUUCUUCCCAUUGAAGAUGCAACAGAGUAUAUGUUUCCAAGUGAUCCAAUUCUAUGUCAAUUGUCAAUUUUAUGUUCGUUGGAGUAGUAAUUUUUUUCACUAUCUCAGACCACUUGUGCUCUACAGUUGAUUAAAAGUUGCCCCAAUUUGAGUAAGUAACUUCAGAUUUGGGUAAGUACUGGAAGAUUAUGUGAUCAUGAACUUGAUAUGUGUAUGAUCUAGUUGAUUUUUUUUACUUCAUAUAUGUGAACAUAAAAAUUCAUAUUGACAUGGUAUUUCUUUAUAGUGUAUAGCAUAGUACGUAUCGGAUGUUAGCUAUAACUACUACAACGUAAAAUACUAUAUAUAUUGCUCCUAAAUUUCUUAAUGUAUGCAUGCCAUUUUGUAUACUGGUUUCACUCCUCUCUAUUACUUGUCCCGGAAUCUUAUGUAUGAUGGGAUCCACAUAGUAGUAGCGGUCAAGAAAGUCAUUAGAAUCCGAAUUCGUGACUACUGUUUAAAAUUAUGCUUCUCUAUGCUAUUGGGUUGCCCCUUUUAGAUAAGAUCAAUCUCAUUUAUUAGGGAUGUAAUUUAGACAAAUCCCAAGAAUCAAAUCAGCUUUUGCAUAUUAAAUGGAGCACGAAGGCAGUUUAACCAAAAUAUUACACCGACACUGUAGUUUAAUCUAUUGUACAAUGCUACUCACCUUCUCUUUAGAUUUUCAACCUACACAUGAUAGAUGGUUAUUUCUUUCUUUAAAAUAUCCUAAUAGUGUACACUUUUUUGUUUACCUAUAAGUAAGUUAAACCGGCUUAAUGCAUAGUUUACCUUGAUCCAAUUUGAAUGCACUUCACAUCAUGGUAAGAUAGGUAUAUGUGGUAUGUAUAUGUAAGCUCAAGAGUUUUAACUGAUUCUGUACUUAGUUGUAUACCAUUAGGGAUGCGCUUCCGGAGACAAUGCUGAAGUAGUUUUGAAAUAUCUGAAGAGAACAAUUACCUGCUUGAAUCUACGAUUCAACAAGCUUAUGUAUGUGGCGAUAUCUUUGGUGAGGAUGUGCGUUGAGCACCAAAAAUCAUUUGAUUAUAGCGUAGAAAGAAAAAUCACCAAAAAAUUGAUAUGUUUUACCAUAGCUUCUCCUUUCAUUUUUCGGAUCAGUAGAUUAAGAUCAACAACGUGCAUUCCAUAUAUAAUGGUAUGAAUUUAGUGUAUGUGUGUACACAAAUUUUAUUGUGAUUUUUUUGACUAUUUUUCUCUUAUUUGUUCCUUUUCUUGUAGUCAGGAGAAUCAUGUUGGUAUAUGGAUAUAAAAUUUAGCCACUUCAACCCACUGGGAGUGAAGUGAGCCUUCAUCAAAGCCUAAAUUUUCUUUAGAUGUUAACAUCAUUAGCUAACAGUGGAUUGUCUGGUAGCUGGAUAACUAUAAAGUGGAAAUUCAGACUUCAAAGUUUAAUAUCUUUGACCAAAAUAUGACAAUUAACGACUUAAUAUCGUUACCAUCUCUUACUGUUGGUUGUUUCCCUCCCUUGACAUUUAUGGUUAAGAAGCAACAAGAAGGGAAACACCAGGUUUGUAGUUGUGAAUAUAUAUAUAUAGGGGGGGGCGAAAUUGUUAGAAUACAUAUAAAUAGAGUAUACAACAAAUAAUUUGAUAAAGAAUGAGUAAAGUCUAGACCUUUUUCACCCCUAAGAUGUAGACUAUGGAAAGUGUUGUGUUUUACUUUACUUCCUUCUCCUAUCUGCGCGUGCUUUGAUUUCUUUCCUAAACACUUUUGUUUGGAAGGUUGUUACCUAUGCAUGUUAUACAAUAAUCUGUGUAUUAUUUACUAAAAAUUGAUUGAAUUAGGUUAUGAUUCUUCGUGUGGCCUAUUUCAAACUAAAUAACUACUAAAUGGGAUAGUAACUUGAUCACUUACAAGAGAAAAUGGUAAAUAUGGCUGGAUUGGAAUGCUUGGAGCUGAACUAUGAUUUGUUUUUUAUUGGUUUCUCAGUCAGUGUCAGUCUCUUCACUGGAACAUAGUUUAUCAUCAAGCAUUUCGAGAUGGCUAUUGCAAAGG